rnacentral:rRNA from 1 species
AUACGGAGGAUGCGAGCGUUAUCCGGAUUUAUUGGGUUUAAAGGGAGCGUAGGUGGGAUAUUAAGUCAGCUGUGAAAGUUUGGGGCUCAACCUUAAAAUUGCAGUUGAUACUGGUUUCCUUGAGUACGGUACAGGUGGGCGGAAUUCGUGGUGCAGCGGUGAAAUGCUUAGAUAUCACGAAGAACUCCGAUCGCGAAGGCAGCUCACCGGGCCGGAACUGACACUGAUGCUCGAAAGUGCGGGUAUCAAACAGGAUUAGAUACCCUGGUAGUCCGCACAGUAAACGAUGAAUACUUGUUUUCGGCGAUAUAAUGUCGGAGGCAAAGCGAAAGCGAUAAGUAUUCCACCUGGGGAGUACGCCGGCAACGGUGAAACUUAAAGGAAUUGACGGGA